rnacentral:rRNA from 1 species
UAUGCACUUUCCAGUACAUCUACUUUGUUACGACUUAUCUCCUCUUAAAAGGAGAGUGACGGGCGAUAUGUACACAUUCUAUUGCCUUGUUCAGUUUAUUUUCCUAAAAUAAACUUACUAACAAAUCCACCUUCACCCAAAUUAUAAUUUAAGAUCCGUAUUUUUUUAAAAAACUGUAGCUCACCAUUUCCUUCACAUAAACUGCACCUUGACCUGAAGUAAAAAGAUUAAUUUUAUAGAAAACAUCCUUUUGGAGUAAUCUGACAACGGAGGUAUACAAGUUAAACAAAUGAAGGUAAGAUAAAACGAGGGUUAUCGAUUACAAGACAAGCUCCUCUGUUUGGUUAGAAUGCCGCCAAAACCUUUGGGUUUGAAGAACAACUUUUACUACCCUAUUACCUAUUGUAGAGAAUAACAGGGUAUCUAAUCCUGGUUUUUGGUCUCUAUUUUUUAUAUUCCUUCAAAUAAUUAAAGAUAAUUUACUUCUUUAUAUAAAUUUCACCUAAAAAAAGAAAAUAAUAUACUCAAAAUCAUUUACUGUUAAUUAAAAUAAUAGUUUACUCUAUUUAGAUUCUUCGUCUAACCGCGACGGCUGGCACGAUU